GACGUAGGGGGCUAGCGUUGUCCGGAAUCAUUGGGCGUAAAGAGCGUGUAGGCGGUCCGGUAAGUCCGCUGUGAAAGUCGGGGGCUCAACCCUCGAAUGCCGGUGGAUACUGUCGGGCUAGAGUGCGGAAGAGGCGAGUGGAAUUCCUGGUGUAGCGGUGAAAUGCGCAGAUAUCAGGAGGAACACCUAUUGUGAAGGCAGCUCGCUGGGACGUAACUGACGCUGAGACGCGAAAGCGUGGGGAGCAAACAGG
rnacentral:rRNA from 1 species